AUUGAACGCUGGCGGCAGGCCUAACACAUGCAAGUCGAGCGAGCGGCGGACGGGUGAGUAAUGUAUGGGGACUGCCCGAUAGAGGGGGAUAACUACUGGCAACGGUGGCUAAUACCGCAUACUAUCGGAUAACCCAUAUGGGAUUAGCUAGUCGGUAAGGUAAUGGCUUACCUAGGCGACGAUCCCUAGCUGGUCUGAGAGGAUGAUCAUCCAAACUGGGACUGAGACACGGACCAGACUCCUACGGAGGCAGCAGUGGGGAAUAUUGCACAAUGGGCGCAAGCCUGAUGCAGCCAUGCCGCGUGUAUGAAGAAGGCCCUAGGGUUGUAAAGGACUUUCAGUCGGGAGGCGUUACCGACAGAAGAAGCACCGGCUAACUCCGUGCCAGCAGCCGCGGUAAUAC
rnacentral:rRNA from 1 species